GCUAACUACGUGCCAGCAGCCGCGGUAAUACGUAGGUGGCAAGCGUUGUCCGGAAUUAUUGGGCGUAAAGCGCGCGCAGGUGGUUCCAAAAGUCUGAUGUGAAAGCCCCCGGCUCAACCGGGGAGGGUCAUUGGAAACUGGGGAACUUGAGUGCAGGAGAGGAAAGUGGAAUUCCACGUGUAGCGGUGAAAUGCGUAGAUAUGUGGAGGAACACCAGUGGCGAAGGCGACUUUCUGGCCUGUAACUGACACUGAGGCGCGAAAGCGUGGGGAGCAAACAGGAUUAGAUACCCCUGUAGUC
rnacentral:rRNA from 1 species